GUGGGCUCAGUAGUUUGUAGCACGUGGGCUUAGUUGCCCCAUGGCAUGUGGUAUCUUAGUUCCACAACCAGGGAUCGAACCUGUGUCCCCUGCAUUUGAAGGCGGAUCCUUUACCACUGGAAGUCCCUGCAUACAUGCUUAGAAGCUGGCACAAAGGAGGAGACCAAGUAACGUUUGCUGAGUGAAUAUAUGCAUGAAUGAUAUGAGAAGGAGGAAAAGAGCAUUUCCAGCACACGGAACAAUAUAAGCAGAUGCCUAGAGAAAUAAGCAUGAUGUGUAAAGACAGAGAAAAUUUCAUUGCAACCAUUAGAAACAAGUGACGAUGAGAAAUAAGUUUUGACAAAUACUGGAAACUCUUAAAUGCUAGGCUGAAGAGUUUGAACUUUAUCUUGUAACCACAAAAGAUUUACUCACUAGGGAAUAGGAUGAGAAAGGGGUGAAGUUAUUGAGGAAAAAAAAAAAAAGAGCAGGUGGUAAUAAUGAAACAAGUGUUUAAGAAACAUCUGUCUUACAUCUGUCUUGCAGUAAAAACAACUGCUAGCAGUUAUCUAUCUAGCACAACUCAUUGGAUGGGCAAGGGAUUUAGAAGUAGGGAAACCAGCUGAGAAUCAGAAAUCCAGAUAAGAGAUCAUAAGGUCUGGCUGUGUGAUUAAAAAGAACAACUUCUGGAGACAUUUCAAAGAAAGAUUCAACACAAGUUGGUUCCUAUUUUAUUUUGAAGGAUGACAGAUACAGUAACAGCAAACUUUUGAGUCCGGGAUAUUGGAAAACAGGGAGCGGGGCCUUAGAAUGAGACUGGGAAGUCAAGAGGGAAAAGGAUUUCUUUCUUGAUUCUAUUUUUCCUUGUAAUUUAGAGCACCACCUAUUUCUCCCAAAGAAUCCGAUGUUCCUAGGAUCUGGCUUUGAAGGUAGAAGAGCUGAAUUCCCUCUUAAUUUAAAUUUGUAAUUAAACCCUCCCUCCACCUGUUUCCCCAAAGAUCUAAAGUGCACAGGACUCAGUAAGACGGUAGCGUGGCUGAGGAGUGAGAAGCGACACGCCUACUUUACAAUAACAAUCCCAUAAUCAAAUGUAAAAAUCUUGGAAACAGCUAAACAUAGAGAACGAGUUCUGUAAAUAAUAAGCAAUUUUGUGUAACCUGUACAAAACUUAUUCCUUGGGGCUUCCCUGGUGGCGCAGUUGUUGAGAGGCCGCCUGCCGAUGCAG